CUCCAGGUACGAUCCGACUAUCCCUGCACAUUGCCUUGUAGGUAUUUACACCAUCAUCAACGGCUCUUUCAAGGUCGUCCAAGAUACUAUCAGUGCUUCCCCGCAGAACAACAGUGGAGACAGAAUUUCCACCAUCUUCAUUUCUCACAACUGUAACCCUGACACCGCCAAUUUCCUCCACUGAAACAGAAUCCACAUGGCCAAGGUCAUCUGGAUUUGGCUGGCUAAGCUUUAAAAGUGCAACAGCCCCAGUGGUACGGCAAAAACGGCGGAGUUCAAACUUGGAGCUGAUUUUCAAUACCAUAAGUUUGUAACGCUCACAGAAAUGAAGAGCCAUCUCUCCCACCGCUGCUCCACUGACAAUGACCUUAGCACCUGAAUCAGCAACUGAUUUAAUAAGUUCCUCCACCUUAGCCUCCUCAGUCUUUGCAUAGUUUUCAAGCUGCUCAGCACUAUGAAUAAGAACUGUUCCUUUUGUUUCGGUUGUAGAUGUAUCAACACCUUGAACAAAAACAGCGACCUUUGCCUUCUCUAUCCUCUUUAUGCUCCCAACAGCAUCACUUUUCAACACCAUACCUCUAACUAUGGUGGAAUUAUGCAAACCCCCACCCAAUAGCUUUGCGACUCGUACAUUAUCCACAUUGAAGUUCGCUGGGUUUUUAGGGCACACUUGAAUGCAAGCCUCAGCAACAAGGGGACACAGGACAUCCUCUAGUCCAAAUUGUUUGCUAGCAACUGCAGAUUUCAUCCGUGAAAUAACUUCAUUCUUGUCUUUGACAUUCAUAUUCUCGGAACCUGCCUCAACUAGCUCAUCCAAUAAUUCAAUUGUCUUAUUUAUUGCCUUAUUGUACCCGAUGAUAAUUUCACUAGGGUGCAACCCCAUCCUAAUGAGCUCCUCAGCAUUUUGGAGGAGCUCCCCCGCAAAUGAAACAGUCAAAUUAGCUCCAUCACCAAUCUCCUCCUGCUGCAAAGAUAUUGGUUUUGGCCGGAAAGGCACAGCAAGAGGAGAUUGGUGAU
rnacentral:misc_RNA from 1 species